rnacentral:lncRNA from 1 species
AUUAAUACAAAAAAACAAAAACAUUUUUCAAGCAUACAAAUUUUUAUAUCUACUUCAUAAUUUCAGAUAAUUCAAGAAGCAAGACGAAAUUCAUGACUCUUCAUAUGGCUUAUGAGUGUACAAACUUUAUACUACACCAUUUGUGAUUUCGUCACAUUAUUUACUUAACACACUAUCCUACAUUAGUUAAUUGGUACCCAUUUGUUCAUUAUCAUGGAUGGUUGGAGCCGGAUCUAUGCAUAAUGUGCACCGGCACCCCUCAAGAACACACAUGCUAGAUUUGGUUUGCCUUGUACGUUUCACACAUUGUCUUUCGCAAGUUUUGCUAUCACAUGGCUUUGUCGAUGGGAGAAUUUUUUGCACACAUGUGUAGAGUUUCAUGCUAUCAUCCAUUGAUGCCUCAACUACCACAUCUGCAAAAUUUCACGAUUAAGAAAACGGACGGUCACAAGAAGACCAUUAUUUGUUGGGGGAGAUUCUGAACAAAUGCAUUACACGAACAAAUGAGUACCUGAUGCUAGCACAAGAAAGACUAGGGACAGAAGCAACAUCUGGGUAGUCCUCAUUUUAACUAGUGUUUGUGCUAAAGGAGCGAGUUGCAGAUCGUUGUGUGAUAUGUAAGUUCUAAGAAAU